rnacentral:sRNA from 1 species
GAGUGUUGGCCCGGGAGGAAAGAAGAUGGUGCUGGAUCUGGAUUUGUUUCGGGUGGAUAAAGGAGGGGACCCAGCCCUCAUCCGAGAGACGCAGGAGAAGCGCUUCAAGGACCCGGGACUAGUGGACCAGCUGGUGAAGGCAGACAGCGAGUGGCGACGAUGUAGAUUUCGGGCAGACAACUUGAACAAGCUGAAGAACCUAUGCAGCAAGACAAUCGGAGAGAAAAUGAAGAAAAAAGAGCCAGUGGGAGAUGAUGAGUCUGUCCCAGAGAAUGUGCUGAGUUUCGAUGACCUUACUGCAGACGCUUUAGCUAACCUGAAAGUCUCACAAAUCAAAAAAGUCCGACUCCUCAUUGAUGAAGCCAUCCUGAAGUGUGACGCGGAACGGAUAAAGCUGGAAGCAGAGCGGUUUGAGAACCUCCGAGAGAUUGGGAACCUUCUGCACCCUUCUGUGCCCAUCAGUAACGAUGAGGUGAUUGGCAAAGGCAGUGAAAAGUCUGAUGACAACUCCUAUGAUGAGAAGUACCUUAUUGCCACCUCAGAGCAGCCCAUUGCUGCCCUGCACCGGGAUGAGUGGCUCCGGCCGGAGGACCUGCCCAUCAAGUAUGCUGGCCUGUCUACCUGCUUCCGUCAAGAGGUGGGCUCCCAUGGCCGUGACACCCGUGGCAUCUUCCGAGUCCAUCAGUUUGAGAAG